CAGAGGGUAGUUUAAGUAGAAUUA
rnacentral:tRNA from 1 species